rnacentral:tRNA from 1 species
GGCUAGGUGGCAGAGUGGUUAUGCAGCGGCCUGCAAAGCCGUGUACAUCGGUUCGAUUCCGUUCCUAGCCUCCA